CUCAAGAAUUCUUUUUUUUAAAGUAGAUUCCACACUCAGUGUGGAGCCCAACAUGGGGCUUGAACUCACAACCCUGAGAUUAAGACCGAGCUGAGAUCAACAGUCGGAUGCUUACCCAACUGAGCCACCCAGGUGCCCCUCCCAAUCAAGAAUUCUAUACUCAUCAACAUAUUUUUCAAAAGCAAAGGCAAAAAUAAAGACUUUCAGGCAUACAAAAGCUGAAAAACCCUCACCAGCAGUUCCGCACCACUGAACAUGUUAAAGGACACUUUUUUUAAAGAUUUUAUUUAUUUAUUGCCCCUUAAAGGACAUUUUUCAAGCAGAAUGAAAAUGAUGCUAUUUGGAAACCUGGAUCUACACAAAGGAAUAAGGAGCCUUAGGAAAUGAUCUGCUGUCGAAUAUCUUCUAUCACUUGUUAGCAGAGGUCGGCUUCCCUCUACUCUGUUGACAAGAGUUGGAAAGCCGGAAGGAGAUUCCAAAGAGCAGCCUGCAGUGCUUUGGGCCCCGAGCAAAAGAGAAAAACACUCCGAGAGACUAGACUGGUGUGGUGUGUUUACGUAACUGGCUCGAGUUCCCCAGAUUAAAUAGCUUAGAAUUUCUUAAGAA